UUAAUGAACAACCUCUCGUUGUAUAUAUAUAUCUAUAAAAAUAACCCACGUACAUGUUACAAGAAUCUAAAGCUAAUACAUUAUUAAAUAAUACAAUUUCUUUUCAUUUUAAAGAUACAUAUCAUAGUUUUUACAAAAUAUGAUCAUGGAGAAUUAAGCCGUUCUGAAUGUCUGAAAAAACAAUCUUGUGUGUGUGUAGAUCCUGUGUGUGUAGAUCCUGUGUGUGUAGAUCCUGUGUGUGUAGAUCCUGUGUGUAGAUCCUGUGUGUGUAGAUCCUGUGUGUGCAGAUCCUGUGUGUAGAUCCUAUGUGUGUAGAUCCUGUGUGUGUAGAUCCUGUGUGUAGAUCCUGUGUGUGUGUAGAUCCUGUGUGUAGAUCCUGUGUGUGUAGAUCCUGUGUGUAGAUCCUGUGUGUGUAGAUCCUGUGUGUAGAUCCUGUGUGUGUGUAGAUCCUGUGUGUGUAGAUCCUGUGUGUAGAUCCUGUGUGUAGAUCCUAUGUGUGUAGAUCCUGUGUGUGUAGAUCCUGUGUGUGUAGAUCCUGUGUGUAGAUCAUAUGUGUGUAGAUCCUGUGUGUGUAGAUCCUAUGUGUGUAGAUCCUGUGUGUGUAGAUCCUGUGUGUGUAGAUCCUGUGUGUGUGUAGAUCCUGUGUGUGUGUAGAUCCUGUGUGUGUAGAUCCUAUGUGUGUAGAUCCUGUGUGUGUAGAUCCUGUGUGUGUAGAUCCUAUGUGUGUAGAUCCUGUGUGUGUAGAUCCUGUGUGUGUGUGUGUAGAUCCUGUGUGUGUGUGUAGAUCAUGUGUGUGUAGAUCAUGUGUGUGUGUGUCUAGAUCCUGUGUGUGUGUAGAUCCUGUGUGUGUGUAGAUCCUGUGUGUGUAGAUCCUGUGUGUGUGUGUAGAUCCUGUGUGUGUGUGUAGAUCCUGUGUGUGUGUAGAUCCUGUGUGUGUAGAUCCUAUGUGUGUAGAUCCUGUGUGUGUAGAUCCUGUGUGUGUAGAUCCUAUGUGUGUAGAUCCUAUGUGUGUAGAUCCUGUGUGUGUAGAUCCUGUGUGUGUAGAUCCUGUGUGUGUAGAUCCUGUGUGUAGAUCCUAUGUGUGUAGAUCCUGUGUGUGUAGAUCCUGUGUGUGUAGAUCCUGUGUGUGUGUGUAGAUCCUGUGUGUGUGUGUCUAGAUCCUGUGUGUGUGUGUGUGUGUGUGUGUGUGUAGAUCCUAUGUGUGUGUGUAGUUCCUAUGUGUGUGUGUAGUUCCUGUGUGUGUGUAGUUACGGUGUGUGUGUGUAGAUACUGUGUGUGUGUGUAGUUCCUAUGUGUGUGUGUAGAUCCUGUGUGUGUGUGUAGAUCCUGUGUGUGUGUAGAUCCUGUGUGUGUGUAGAUCCUGUGUGUGUGUGUAGACCCUGUGUGUGUGUGUAGUUCCUAUGUGUGUGUGUAGUUCCUAUGUGUGUGUGUAGAUCCUGUGUGUGUGUAGAUCCUGUGUGUGUGUGUGUAGAUCCUGUGUGUGUGUAGAUCCUGUGUGUGUGUGUGUGUAGAUCCUGUGUGUGUGUGUGUGUAGAUCCUGUGUGUGUGUAGAUCCUGUGUGUGUGUGUAGAUCCUGUGUGUGUGUGUGUGUAGAUCCUAUGUGUGUGUGUAGUUCCUAUGUGUGUGUGUAGAUCCUGUGUGUGUGUGUAGAUCCUGUGUGUGUGUGUGUUUCCUAUGUGUGUGUGUAGAUCCUGUGUGUGUGUGUAGAUCCUGUGUGUGUGUGUAGAUCCUGUGUGUGUGUAGAUCCUGUGUGUGUGUGUAGAUCCUGUGUGUGUGUAGAUCCUGUGUGUGUGUGUAGAUCCUGUGUGUGUGUGUGUAGAUCCUAUGUGUGUGUGUAGUUCCUAUGUGUGUGUGUAGAUCCUGUGUGUGUGUGUAGAUCCUGUGUGUGUGUGUGUAUCCUGUGUGUGUAUUUUAUUAUUCAAUAUUAAACAUGUAAUAAUGCACAACAGUAUUCCUUGUAAUAAUAUGAACUUGUGAUAUUGGCUAUUAAAAUGUAAACUGCAAAAACACAUUUUGAAAAGUCAAUGGAACUAUAAAUUAAUCUCAUCUUUCUACAAAUGUUAUAGUCCACCUGCCAGAGGACUGAGGGCCUAAUCGAGAGCUUGUCUUUCUACAGAGUAUAUAGUCCACCUGCCAGAGGACUGAGGACCUAAUCGAGAGCUUGUCUUUCUACAGAGUAUAUAGUCCACCUGCCAGAGGACUGAGGGCCUAAUCGAGAGCUUGUCUUUCUACAGAGUUUAUAGUCUACCUGCCAGAGGACUGAGGGCCUAAUCGCGAGCUUGUCUUUCUACAGAGUAUAUAGUCCACCUGCCAGAGGACUGAGGACCUAAUCGAGAGCUUGUCUUUCUACAGAGUAUAUAGUCCACCUGCCAGAGGACUGAGGGCCUAAUCGAGAGCUUGUCUUUCUACAGAGUUUAUAGUCCACCUGCCAGAGGACUGAGGGCCUAAUCGAGAGCUUGUCUUUCUACAGAGUUUAUAGUCUACCUGCCAGAGGACUGAGGGCCUAAUCGCGAGCUUGGAAUUGAAUGGUUCUAUCUGCAUUUAUGUUAUUGAGUUAUUGAAAUAUAUAUUUUUGUUCUAUACAAUGUCUACCUAUAUAGUGCUGUAAAUAUGUUGGGAAAGACUACACGUUAAAAUUGAUCACACCGUUCAAACCAAUGAGGUUUUGGAACAUUAAAGCCAAUUACCUCAGAAUCAACUUUUUGCAGAUAGACCCUUAUCCUUUUAAAGUCAUGUAUUGUAUGGCAAUCUACUUCCUCAAAUAGUAAAGUCCCAAACAGACGACGAUGAUGGAGAUGAAUUGCUCUCAAAUCCACUGUGUUUUAACACCUCUACUUUCUUGGUGUUCGCUGGGUGCAGUAGAAAGCUAUAGAAUUCUUAUUCAGGAUUUCUCCAAAGUGUGUUUUAGUUCUCUGUUAUGUUGUUGUUUAUGUCAUGUGUUGUUAUUUAUAUCGUUA
ensembl:lncRNA